GAAACUAAAAUCAUGAUUGAUUAUAUAUGCCAACGGCACAUAACUGUAUCUCAGAUCAGCUUAUUAAAACUUAUGAAUUGUCAUUAUGAACUUCGUGUACCACAUAUAAAUUUGAAUAACAAUCAUCAUAGAUUUUAUAUGCGUAUCGCACAUAACCGAGUUUGCUUCCUUCCUAACAAAAAAUAUUGUUUACGCAAAUAAACUUUGUGAGCAUUGCAUAUAAGUUGUAUGUGCGCGAUGCUAUAGAUUUUUGCUGUAUGCUUUUACACAUAAAAUUUACAUGCAAUGCUCACAACAUUUAUGUAUGCGUCUCGGUAUGCGGCCAUAAAACGUUUUUUUCUGAACAAGAUGGCGAAAAUUGGAAAAAAAUUUUAGUCGAGGGUUUUGUGCCAACAUUUAUUGGCAUUUUUUCAAUAGUCAAAUUGUUUAAAAGCCUACUGCUAGAUCUAGGGUAGAUAAAUUCAACGCCACGUUGGAGUUGCUCCAAUCCAGCUCCUUUAACCGGAUCUCCCGCCAAAGUGUAAAAAAGUGGUUCUCGCAGGCGGACAUUGGCGCCGUCGCUAAAAGCCGCUAAACCUCGUUGUUUGGACGUUCGACUCGCGUGAAGAAGCGGGUUUGAAACGGCGUGAAUCGACGAUCCGUCGGAAAGUCGACUUCCGUGACAGGCAAACCCAGCAUAAGUUUUCCGGAUCAAAGAUGUUCAAAGCUUGCGGUGCUGAGGCCGAUUCCUCAGAUUGGUCAGGUUCUGAAGAUGAACCCCGUUGGCGAGAUCGGGUCUAGCAACAAGAAGGCCGUCGAUCUACAUGCCGGUGCUGAAUUGAAAGGCCACCUGAAGGUCAAAAUCCGACUGGUCCACGAGAAGACGAAGUAACGUCACCGAACACGAGCGAAACGGCCAUGCUGGCUCAGGAAAGCUCGGGCGCUUCUUUGGCAGCACGUCGGACACGACCCGGUGCCGGCGGAGCAAGUGAUGGAGGAAGUGGAAGAAACUGAAUCUUCAAGCUGCUCGACGUGAUUUCUUGUGGUACAAAACGCAAUUGUUUUAAAAAAAAGUAUUUGAAAAAAAUUUCAACAAUACAUUAUAAGAAUUUUUUAAUAUUGGAAGAAAGUUUAAUCAGCAAUUCAACAUUAGGAAUAGUAAAUGAAAACAAAAUACACCACUCUUGAUAAUCAAAAGAAAAAUACAUUGAAAAUUAU